rnacentral:rRNA from 1 species
UACAGAGGUCCCGAGCGUUGUUCGGAUUCAUUGGGCGUAAAGCGCGCGUAGGUGGCUUCGUAAGUCCGUUGUGAAAGUCAAAGGCUCAACCUUUGAAAGCCGAUGGAUACUGUGAAGCUAGAGUACGGAAGAGGCGAGUGGAAUUCCUGGUGUAGCGGUGGAAUGCGCAGAUAUCAGGAGGAACACCAAUAGCGAAGGCAGCUCGCUGGGACGUUACUGACACUGAGGCGCGAAAGCGUGGGGAGCGAACAGG